AGAUUUCCUGUGAGAGAGAAAACACACGGUGCUGACUGACUUCGUUUACCUGAGGUUGACCUGGCUAAAGAUGUCACGUGGCUUCUUCUGCGAUGUUUGUAAAGUGCCCAAGAAGGACAGGUUGGGUUUAUGCUGCUAUCAACUCAGAAGGCAACGCAGUUCAUUGCGUCUCGGGAAUGUUUGCAGACACUGCUGUUCCAGAUUCAGAGCAAAGAGUGCCAUCUGGUGAACCAAAGACUUCAUUUCCUGCAGCUGCAGCUGCUCCUGGGAGGCUUCCCAGCUGAGACCCCUGAAGGGGCUCUGUGACUGCAAGGAAGCAACGGGGCGCAGGCUGCGAGCAGCCAGGAAUGAGCCAUAGUGUCUGAAGGAGAAAAAAGGCUUUUGGAAGCUAA